rnacentral:rRNA from 1 species
GGGUUGUGAGGUUAAGCGACUAAGCGUACACGGUGGAUGCCCUGGCAGUCAGAGGCGAUGAAGGACGUGCUAAUCUGCGAUAAGCGCCGGUAAGGUGAUAUGAACCGUUAUAACCGGCGAUUUCCGAAUGGGGAAACCCAGUGUGAUUCGUCACACUAUCAUUAACUGAAUCCAUAGGUUAAUGAGGCGAACCGGGGGAACUGAAACAUCUAAGUACCCCGAGGAAAAGAAAUCAACCGAGAUUCCCCCAGUAGCGGCGAGCGAACGGGGAGGAGCCCAGAGCCUGAAUCAGCAUGUGUGUUAGUGGAAGCGUCUGGAAAGGCGCGCGAUACAGGGUGACAGCCCCGUACACAAAAGCGCAUGUGUUGUGAGCUCGAUGAGUAGGGCGGGACACGUGGUAUCCUGUCUGAAUAUGGGGGGACCAUCCUCCAAGGCUAAAUACUCCUGACUGACCGAUAGUGAACCAGUACCGUGAGGGAAAGGCGAAAAGAACCCCGGCGAGGGGAGUGAAAAAGAACCUGAAACCGUGUACGUACAAGCAGUGGGAGCACAGGUUUACCUGUGUGACUGCGUACCUUUUGUAUAAUGGGUCAGCGACUUAUAUUCUGUAGCAAGGUUAACCGUAUAGGGGAGCCGCAGGGAAACCGAGUCUUAAUUGGGCGUUAAGUUGCAGGGUAUAGACCCGAAACCCGGUGAUCUAGCCAUGGGCAGGUUGAAGGUUGGGUAACACUAACUGGAGGACCGAACCGACUAAUGUUGAAAAAUUAGCGGAUGACCUGUGGCUGGGGGUGAAAGGCCAAUCAAACCGGGAGAUAGCUGGUUCUCCCCGAAAGCUAUUUAGGUAGCGCCUCGUGAAUUCAUCUCCGGGGGUAGAGCACUGUUUCGGCUAGGGGGCCAUCCCGGCUUACCAACCCGAUGCAAACUGCGAAUACCGGAGAAUGUUAUCACGGGAGACACACGGCGGGUGCUAACGUCCGUCGUGAAGAGGGAAACAACCCAGACCGCCAGCUAAGGUCCCAAAGUCAUGGUUAAGUGGGAAACGAUGUGGGAAGGCCCAGACAGCCAGGAUGUUGGCUUAGAAGCAGCCAUCAUUUAAAGAAAGCGUAAUAGCUCACUGGUCGAGUCGGCCUGCGCGGAAGAUGUAACGGGGCUAAACCAU